rnacentral:rRNA from 1 species
CAGCAGCCGCGGUAAUACGAAGGGGGCUAGCGUUGUUCGGAUUUACUGGGCGUAAAGCGCACGUAGGCGGAUCGAUCAGUCAGGGGUGAAAUCCCAGAGCUCAACUCUGGAACUGCCUUUGAUACUGUCGAUCUGGAGUAUGGAAGAGGUGAGUGGAAUUCCGAGUGUAGAGGUGAAGUUCGUAGACAUUCGGAGGAACACCAGUGGCGAAGGCGGCUCACUGGUCCAUUACUGACGCUGAGGUGCGAAAGCGUGGGGAGCAAACAGGAUUAGAUACCCCAGUAGUCCCUGUCUCUUAUAA